GGGCUGCGCCCUCCGGGGCAAUAGGAAGUGAUUGAGCCCUGGGCAGCUGCAGGCUGAGGAUCGUGCGCGCCCCGCUCCACCUCUCCCUGACCCCUCGCAUAAAGCAGCCCCAAGCUGGGCCAGCCCCUGCUCCCGGCACCCCUCCCCCCCGCAGCGGGCUGGAACCGGCCCCUGGCAGGCGAAGUCCCCCCGGCCCUGAGCUGCCCGCGGGGCCGCACGGCAGGCGAGGGCCCGUGGGUAAUGAUCACAGUGAAAGAAGACGGCACAUUUUGAGGUUAAGAAUUAAAAAUUGUACAAGGCAACCCUGCACCAGGCCAUUGCCUCAGACAUCCUCACUUGGUCCCUUAAGGUAAUGAGUCCCUUCUCCAUAGAAGGGACCUAUUACCCUUAUUCACCAAGGACACUUGCUCCAACAAAGCACCUGAUCCAAUAUGUGUAACUAUUAGCAGGGAAAGGUAGCAGCAUUCUGCACUUGCUAGCAUCUGGAGAGACUGGAUUUGCAGAGGCUAAAGAGAACGGCGUUGCAAUAAGCCUGGCAAGACGAAAUGAAAGCAUGGAUGGAGACGAAGCUCUGUGGCAACAAUGCAGUGUUGUUUGAGGGGAUGAUAGGCAGAACUGCAAUCAAAGAAGGAUGAGGCAUGCUGAGAGUCUGGAAUAAUGCCAAGGUAUAGACAGCUGAGACAAAGUGUGAGUCAAGGAAGAAGGUGGAGGUUCUCUUUAUUUUCUUCAAAGGGGUAAGGGAAAGCAUUAUUAUAUAAUUUCUGUGACCUCAUUUAUUAUGUUUAUCCAUAUGUUACAUUGUGGCUAUGCAUGAGUGUCUUUAAGGAACCGUCUCUAAUGGCACUAUGCCUCUGCCAAAUAUGUACACAAUGAACCACUUUCUUUUCUGGAAAUUGUUCUCGACUGCGUACAUCAUUCUCACAGAAAUAAACAACAACUUACAUAGAUAUCGUGUAUUUCACUCCAAAGGGUCUAAAAUCACUUAAUAAACUGAAAUGCAA